UGUGAAGUCAUUGAUGCCAUGCUUCCAGGAAAAGCCUCUAAGCUUCAGAUUGUAAGGAAUCGUACCCCAAACCGACACAGGUGGUCGGGUAGAGAAUACCAAGGCGCUUGAGAGAACUCGGGUGAAGGAACUAGGCAAAAUGGUACCGUAACUUCGGGAGAAGGUACGCUCUUGAUGGUGAAGUCCCUUGCGGAUGGAGCUGACGAGAGUCGCAGAUACCAGGUGGCUGCAACUGUUUAUUAAAAACACAGCACUGUGCAAAAUCGUAAGAUGACGUAUACGGUGUGACGCCUGCCCGGUGCCGGAAGGUUAAUUGAUGGGGUUAGACUUC
rnacentral:rRNA from 1 species